rnacentral:rRNA from 1 species
UAGGGAAUCUUCGGCAAUGGGGGGAACCCUGACCGAGCAACGCCGCGUGAGUGAAGAAGGUUUUCGGAUCGUAAAGCUCUGUUGUUAAGGAAGAACGAGUGUGAGAAUGGAAAGUUCAUGCUGUGACGGUACUUAACCAGAAAGGGACGGCUAACUACGUGCCAGCAGCCGCGGUAAUACGUAGGUCCCGAGCGUUGUCCGGAUUUAUUGGGCGUAAAGCGAGCGCAGGCGGUUAGAUAAGUCUGAAGUUAAAGGCAGUGGCUCCACCAUUGUAGGCUUUGGAAACUGUUUAACGUGAGUGCAGAAGGGGAGAGUGGAAUUCCGUGUGUAGCGGUGAAAUGCGUAGAUAUAUGGAGGAACACCGGUGGCGAAAGCGGCUCUCUGGUCUGUAACUGACGCUGAGGCUCGAAAGCGUGGGGAGCGAACAGG